rnacentral:rRNA from 1 species
GACGAACGCUGGCGGCGUGCUUAACACAUGCAAGUCACGGGGGCCCGCAAGGGGUAACCGGCGAACGGGUGCGUAACACGUGAGCAACCUGCCGAUCUGAGGGGGAUAGCCGGCCCAACGGCCGGGUAAUACCGCAUACGUUCUCGAGGGGACAUCCCCAUGAGAAGAAACCUCCGGGGCAGAUCGAGGGGCUCGCGGCCUAUCAGCUAGUUGGUGUGGGUAACGGCCCA